UAAUCAUCCUUGCUGUAGUGGCUUAUAGUCUCCAAUUUAGGGUAUUGCAAUUGAUGAGCUGUUUGCUAUUAUAAAUUUGGGAAAGGCCUCAAACUCUAAUCAUUUUUUUUUUUCUCAAUUCUUUUAUAUGAUAUGUGAAAUGUGAUCCAUCUAUAAAAGAGAAUUGACAACAACAACAAGAAAUUUGAAUUCUGGUAUGUUACAGUUAAGUGACAUCGCAAAGCAGAUUGACUUCUUGGUCUCUUUCCGUGGUCAAGGCAAAAGCUUUCUCUGCGUCGUCUUUCCUUGCUCUGCCUGAGCCUCCGCGUUGUAUUCCAAAGGCGUAGCUCUCUCUCUCUGUCAGGGAAAUUUGCAAGCAAAGGUCCGAGGAAAUGGUGGUUUGCUUUCCAUCCACGCCCAAGAGGUUGGCCAUGACAAUAGGAUGCUUCAUUUCUGCUGCUGCUCUUUUUGCUUUUGGUGCUCAUAUAUCUUAUGUCAACGUUGCCCCACAACAAGCUCGAACCAAAGCUCGAAAUGAGUUUGUGAGAGAACGGCUGAAACAGAAGUAUGGCAAAUGAUAGAACACGCAGUAUUGGCAUAUCGUAGUUGGGUUUUCGGAUUGCAUCCCGUUGAAAGAAAAAAUGACACUUGAGUUGUGAAUUUUAUGAUCAUACCAUUCAGGGAUGAACAUCCUGCUCUUGUUUUUCUUCUCUCUUUUUGUUUACAUUGUACGACAUACAACAGGGAUGAUAAAUAAAUUUGAUGGCCAUGAUUUGUUUGCAUUUUGAUGCAAUUGAUAGGUUUGAGAAUCAUACUUGAAUCUGAGUUUUAAAAAUCUUUUGAGUGCACUUUGGUGCACAGAAAUGGUUACUUUCACAAAGAAAAGCAUGGUGGAAAGGUGCCUGAUUGCUGCUUCUCUCGCUGCUCUGGUUUGCCAUCCAAGCUCCACCAUAAAGUGUUUCAAGCCCAAGCCACGACCCAGAUCCCCACAAAAACAAAAACCAGAAGACCCUUUCUGCUUCUCCACCAAAGGGUUCAAAACGACAUGGUGUUGUAAUUGGAAAGGAAGUGCCUUCAAAACCCAAGGAAAAACUGUGCCCCAAGGCAGCUUCUUCUUCUUCAUCAUCUGCAAGCAAGUCCAGAAAGAGCACAAAGACAAAAGCCUAAAAACCCAUUAACUUGAUCUCGGAGCUUGCUGGAGGGUACCCUUCCAUUGGUGUUGUGGAGAGUAUUAUCCGCUCAUGUUGGGUUGGUGAAGUAGGCCUCAGAAUUGAGAAGGUGUUGAGGGUGCACCACAGUUUGGAUGUUCUUCAUGGUUUUGAAGAGUAUAGGAAGAUGGUGAAAUCCAAGUACGAAAAGGAUCGGAUUCGUUUGUUCAUUAGGGAUCAAUGA